rnacentral:sRNA from 1 species
AGUAUUUUGACUGUGCAAAGGU